UGUGGGGAAAACUCCACAGUUAAGCGCGCUUGAGCCAGAGGCGUCUUGGGAUGGGUGACCACCUGGGAAGUCCUGGUUACUGGGUGCA
rnacentral:rRNA from 1 species